GACGAACGCUGGCGGCGUGGAUUAGGCAUGCAAGUCGAACGGUAGAGGUCCUUUCGGGGAUCUUGAGAGUGGCGAACGGGUGAGUAACGCGUAGGUGAUCUACCUUCAGGUGGGGGACAACCCGGGGAAACCCGGGCUAAUACCGCAUGUGGCAGCAAUGCCAAAGUUGGCCUCUGAAUAUGCUGAUGCCUGGAGCUGAGCCUGCGUCUGAUUAGCUAGUUGGUGGGGUAACGGCCUACCGAGGCGAUGAUAAGUAGGCGGCUUUAACGAGUGGCCGCCCACACUGGGAUUGAGAAACGGCCCAGACUCCUACGGGAGGCUG
rnacentral:rRNA from 1 species